rnacentral:rRNA from 1 species
CUGCCUGGGUUAACCAGGAGGAAGGUGGGGAUGACGUCAAAUCAUCAUGCCCCUUAUGUGUAGGGCUACACACGUGCUACAAUGGCUGGUACAGAGAGAUGCAAUACCGCGAGGUGGAGCCAAACUUUAAAACCAGUCUCAGUUCGGAUUGUAGGCUGAAACUCGCCUACAUGAAGCUGGAGUUACUAGUAAUCGCGAAUCAGAAUGUCGCGGUGAAUACGUUCCCGGGUCUUGUAC